UGUGAGAAUCAGCGUGAAAAACUGAUUCGAUUAAUAUUGAUUUCCACCCGAUCCCUUAUGAUAUGCAAAACCCUAUUCUGUCAUUUCACCAAGAGGUGUAAAAUUUCAGCGCUAGAUGUCAUGGCAAAAUAAGCAGUUCAAUGAGAGUUUGAGCUGUGCGCCGCAGAGUUUGAGUGAACGGCAAGACUGCUUUGGGCGAUGAGGAGUUCUUACGGGUUUUGGGCCUUAGAUUUUAUUCCUCUUGCGAAAUGAUUGCGUGACAAAUGACCUCUCUCUGUGACACGAUAGCCGCGCCAUCAAUCUCCAUGACGAUAUGGCAAUGUUCUAACUACAAAUUUAUGAUCAGAAACUGACUGGAAUUGUUGUUGUUAUCCGUUCAGACUACUGGUUCUUUCAAGGCAAUGAUUGAUCCUCUUUUGUGACUCACAAUUUUAAACAGAUUAUCGUCCCCAAUUUGACGGAUCUGGAUAACAAUCGAUUAUGGUGCAGGUUUAGGCGGCCUCUACUACCUUACGGCCCGACCAGCAUCAACCCCACCCGUUCCAUGUAUCAUUACUACUUCAAAGGUCCCAAGAAUGAUUCAGGAAUUUAUUUACCGGAAAACAUUUACAAGAUGAACAUUUCUCCGCGUCAGUACAACAUCACGGAAUUCUACACGGACGUACAAAUCAGCAACAGAGCGUUUCUUCCGGUUGCCAGCAGGCAUUUAUUGGUCGUCAUCUUUCUACUUUUAGUCGGACUUCAUUCAAGAGCAAUUUAAUUAGAUUUUUCAAAAAUUCCUAUAUCACAAUUCAAAACGAUACUCAUGAUGUUACAGCAAAUAUUGUUUUCCCUCCUUUUAUUCAAGAUACGCACCUGCACGAUUUCUAUUCAAUGUUUGAUUUUACCGCCAACUAUUUAGUCAGCGGGAAAAUACAUUUAAAAAAACGUUCGUCUUCAA